rnacentral:lncRNA from 1 species
GAUUUGGUCGUUUGCCUUGCCUUUGGUAAGGGUGAAGAGAGUCAAUCUUUGAGGCCAGGGCUCAAGAGAAUGAUUCGAUGGUUUCAGUAAAAUUGGCCUUGGGCCAGAUCUGUUAUUAGAUCCCCCACAGGGUUUUAACAAUGUGACCGUUAUGAAUAAAAUUGAAAUAAGAAAGAGAAAAAAAUGAAAAAUCCAUUUAACUAUUAUCUUUGAGG